CCUACGGGUGGCAGCAGUGAGGAAUAUUGGUCAAUGGACGAGAGUCUGAACCAGCCAAGUAGCGUGAAGGAUGACUGCCCUAUGGGUUGUAAACUUCUUUUAUAUGGGAAUAAAACGUUCCACGUGUGGGAUUUUGUAUGUACCAUAUGAAUAAGGAGCGGCUAACUCCGUGCCAGCAGCCGCGGUAAUACGGAGGAUCCGAGCGUUAUCCGGAUUUAUUGGGUUUAAAGGGAGCGUAGGUGGAUUGUUAAGUCAGUUGUGAAAGUUUGUGGCUCAACCGUAAAAUUGCAGUUGAAACUGGCAGUCUUGAGUACAGUAGAGGUGGGCGGAAUUCGUGGUGUAGCGGUGAAAUGCUUAGAUAUCACGAAGAACUCCGAUUGCGAAGGCAGUUCACUGGACUGCAACUGACACUGAGGCUCGAAAGUGUGGGUAUCAAACAGGAUUAGAUACCCGAGUAGUC
rnacentral:rRNA from 1 species